GACGAACCGAGCGAACGUUGUUCGGAAUCACUGGGCUUAAAGGGCGCGUAGGCGGGUGCUCAAGUCCGGGGCGAAAUCCUCCAGCUCAACUGGAGAACUGCCUCGGAUACUGGGUGUCUCGAGUGUGGUAGGGGUAUGCGGAACUAUCGGUGGAGCGGUGAAAUGCGUUGAUAUCGAUAGGAACUCCGGUGGCGAAGGCGGCAUACUGGACCACUACUGACGCUGAUGCGCGAAAGCCAGGGGAGCAAACGGG
rnacentral:rRNA from 1 species